ACAGCAAGCCGUCUUAUCGCUGCUCCCGCUUGGGAGGAGAGGAAAGUCCGGGCAACGCAGAGCAUCCUACUUCCUAACGGGAAGGGGCCCUCCGGGAGACGGGAAGGCUACAGCCAGUGCCACAGAAAAUUACCGCCGGGCUAUUUAAUGAUUAAUCAGUAAUGAGUAAUUAAUAAUUAUUCAUUCAUCAUUAGUCAUUAGUCCGGUAAGGGUGAAAAGGUGCGGUAAGAGCGCACCAGCGGCUGGGUGACCAGUCCGGCUGGGUAAACCUUAGGAGUUGAAAGACCAAAUAGGCUGACAGCGCCUCGCUUCGGCGGGGCUAAGGGCUGCUCGUCCGAUGUCAGUGGGUAGGUCGAUGGAGCCUGCGCGCGAGUGCAGGCCUAGAUAAAUGAUAAGACGUUGGGAUUCGGCCCAGCGACAGAACCCGGCUUACAGGCUUGCUGUUAAA
rnacentral:RNase_P_RNA from 1 species